rnacentral:piRNA from 1 species
CCCGCAGGAAUGUGGGUGGAUCCUAGAUG